GCCUGGGUGGCUCAGGCGGUUGAGCGUCCGACUUUGGCUCGGGUCAUGAUCUCACGGUCAUGAUCUCACGGUUCGUGGGUUCGAGCCCUGCGCCAGGCU
rnacentral:tRNA from 1 species